rnacentral:tRNA from 1 species
AUUAAUAUAGUAUAAAUAUUACAAUUAAUUUCCAAUUAAAAGAUUUUAUUUAAUUUAUAAUAAAUAUUAAUA